rnacentral:misc_RNA from 1 species
UUCUGCAUUAGCUGAAAUAUGUUCUCUACAAGUAGGAGCAGAAUUUUAAGUACUAUAGUAAUGACUGCACAGGUAAGCUAGAAAUAAAACGAUGUGCACAACCGAGUAGUGAUAUAGCAGUAUCAGCAAGCAGAGAAUAGGAAUACGUAGUGUUCUGUCUACUCUACAAUAUAUACAGUGUAUUCAGAUAUCGACUAGAAAGAGUAACAUCAACAUAUCUUCGAUGCGACAUCUCAUGAGAUGUCAAACAUACUCAUCCUUGGCAACAUGCUCCCAAUCGGAUGAAGAAUUAUCAUACAAACCUGAUGAGUGGUGAUUUCCCAGUCUGGCCUUCCUAUUUGAAUGGACAAUUGGAUCAUCCGCGACAGAGAGAAGAAACUGUUUCAUGGAGUCAUAUCCAGAACCAUCCGUGUAAGACCCAAAGGAGUUAUAUCCUUCACUGGAAUUAAUACUGUGAUGAUAAAAGUAAGGAUCGAUGACCACAUUUGCUCUCUGAUCGUUUGAUACUUCUCCAUUUAUCAUUCCGUGAUUCUCCAUAUCUGCAGAACCAGCAGCAACCAUGUUCAGAUCUUUUUUAACCUCCAUAAACGGUGAAUUCAGGUUGUCCCCCCGGCGUGUUAAUACAUUGAAUCUUGCCAUAACAGAAUCCUCGGCAUCAUUAGUGACCAUAUCUGGAUCCUUUGUCUCCUCCAUGAAAGAUGAAUUCAAGUUGUCUUCCCGCUGUCUUAAGAUGUUGAGUCUCACCUUAACAGAAUCCUCAGCAUCAUUGGCAAUCACAUCCUGAUCCUUUUUCUCUCCCAUGAAAGAUGAUUUCAAGUUCUCUUCCCGUCGUCUUAGGAUGUUGAAUCUUUCCAUAACAGAAUCCUCAGUGUCACUGGAAACUAUAUCAGAGGCUUUUUUCUCUUGCAUGAAUGAUGAACUGAAGUUGUUUCCCUGUUUCCUUAGGAUAUUUAGUUUCAUUGUAACAGAAUCCUCAGAAUCACUGCCAACCUUAACAGAAUCAUUUUCCUCUUUCAUAAAAAAUGAUGAAUUCAGCUUCUCUUCCCUUCUGUUUAAAAUAUUGAAUCUCUCCAUUAAAGAAUAGUCAACGUGGACAUUUUUGCUUGAAGUAGAGGGACUCUGAGAGGAAAUCUUUGACGCUGAGUCAUUUUUAGCUUCAGGUGCCACCGAGGAAUUCAAGUUUAAGUCUUGGCUGAAUCUAUGCUUCUCCAUUUCAAUCUUCAUACGGUCAAAACGAGAUUUAUAGCUUAAAGAACAUAACUUUGCUUCAGCUUCAAGCCAUAAGUUCUUGAAAAGAAGGGCUUGGGGCUGCAUUCCUUCAUCAGAGAGAAAGUUCUCAUUGAGGACUUUCUUUAUAGCCUGGACCACUUGUUCUUCAUUUGAAUCUCCCAAGUCAUCUGCAGAAGUUAGAAGGGGUGAAUUCUCAGUUUUCUUACCAUUGUUCUUGCUCUUAUCUUCAGGCAUGGGCUGAUUAUCGAGGCCACAAGAAUCCCGAGCAACUUCUUCCAUAAACUGAGGGUUGCCUGUCUCAGUGCCCAUAUAAGAGCGGUGAGAUUCUUUGAGCCUUUCAAAAGUGUCAUGCUCGGUAACCAUUGUAUCUUUUGUUUCAAUCUUCUUAACAGUACAUGCACCCAGAUUGGUAAUUGCACUCUUAAGGGUGUCAUAGUCUUGACCCUCCAGUAGACAUGCAUUAGGCAAGCAUUGAGAUUUAAGUAGUUCCGAAAGGUUAUGAAUUGCAUGCACAAGUGUUUGAACAUCCAGCUUUGGACUUGAUCCCAUUUGAUAUGGUUGGGCCUGCUUGGCAUCUUCUUGAGAAGCUGGCGAGCGUAAAACAUUUUCUGCAGCAUCUAGUGCAACUACUCCACCUUCUAAUGUGUCAUUGAGGUUCAAACCAGUGUGCAUAUAACCUUCAGGCAAAUUAUGCUUUUUGGGUCCAUAUUGGUGGCAAUCAACACUAAGGUGCUCGCCCCAGGAAUAUUGUUUUUGACAAUCAUUUUCAGAGUACUGAGGUAGACUAUAUCCUUUGCUAGGCUUGUUCAGAUCUUCAGAAAAUUUAAGUAUCACACCAUUGCUGGACAGAUCCACAGGCACAAAUGUUCCUUUUGUGACAUCAAUGGUCCUGAGUUCUUCGGUGGUGUAGUUAUUAGUAACAGUGCCUACUGAAGGAACAGAAAGACCAUUUCCAGCAUAUACAUUAUGGUUAUGCAGAUUUUCCUCACCGAGUUUCUUUAAGGAAGUUUUCCCUGAAUAUUCUGCUGGAG